AUGCAGUCGUCUAGCGUGAGUCCGCGCGAGCGGAUCGUCGAGUCGCAUCGCUCUUGGUUGUCGGGUAUCGAAAUACUUGCUCUACCAAAAGUCGCUGCAGCCCCUUCGCAAAUUUUCGCGGAUUCGUUUAAUCGAGAAGCAAACGACGUGAGCAUUAUGCGCGUUGCCAAGGGGCGCGGACGUAUGAACCACCGUACUAACGGAGCCAUUGUGAACGGUGAAAUCAUAAACGAGCCUCGGAUGUUCGCGCGAUCAUCGAGCCUUUGACACACAGGCCCGCUUGAUCCUUAGUAGACGCGUCGAGUCGGUCGUAGAAACCCUCGCGUUUAUCACUCCCCGGCCACCUUAGCCGUAACCCCCACCCUUCUUUCGUCCUCCCUCUGUUAUUCGCGCUUCCGUGUGUACUCCGACUUCGAGACGUACAUGAAACCAACACCUUAGACCUCCGCUAGGCCACCUUUCGAUAUCUUUCGAAGGUUACUACAUACUUCGUCGUGACGCUUGACCCUCCUCCCACGACUCUUCUCAGCCUUGUAGACAACAAGUAGCGAGUUCGUAAUUAAUAUCGUAAACAAGUGCGAAAACGACACUCCUGUUGCGAAGGGGUAGGUUUUUUUAGCGCUCGAGAACUGUAUUCCGAAGCUGAACUAGCCGCAUACACCGCUUCCUCCUUUCUGCUGGUACCGCGAUCUUUCGUUGCGAAUUUCCCGAUCGAAGUUGCCACGAUCCUCCGGCGGGAAAACAGUCUUCAAGCGACGAGACAGAAAGUCGAUUCGAAUCAUUUCCCCACGAGCCUCAAAGCCAGGAAGAAGUUACCCGGUAAUGCGUUUUAUCGGCUCGAUGUCGACGUCGAUACUUUCCAUUGAAUUUCUAAGAUUCAAACGAAAUAGUGAUCUCGAAUCGCGCAACCUUCGCGA